GAGCAGCAGACACGUCAUCCCACAACCAUCUCCAACCAGAGCUAUAUGGACUGCUCAGCAAGGUGGCACCUUAUAUCGAUACCAUGUCUGAACUUCCAUGGUUGGGGACCAUCAUCCUACAUGUCAGUGAGGCAUUUUUUUCAGUAAACAGACUGCUGUGGAUCACUAUUUACGGGGAUCACUAUGGGAUUCCUCCGAGUGGUAUGGAACGGAAAGACUGUUCCCUUUAAAGAGUAUACAUUCUUAUACAAAUCUAAAAGUAUUAUAUCAUCCUGAUAUCUACUAUUAUUUGUUCUACAGUACGACACCAUAAAUCAGUACAUCUAUUUAAAA